ACACAUCCAGCAAUUCUGAGAUCACUAGAUCGACUGCCACUGAAUGACAGAUUGAAAAUUUCCUGUCAAUCUCAAUAAAAGAAAUUUAAACGAAGAGUACAACCUCCUGAACUCCUUAAUAAAAGUAAAUAAAACUAAUUCAUAUCCAUACGGAAAAAUUCUUCAAGAGUCUCGGUCCAUAGAGACCGAUCAGUAAAAAGCUUUAGUAAUACUCAAUCGCACGGAGGUUAUACCGAAGGUGAAAAGAAACGGAUACUCGAGAAAAUGAUGCUGGCUCCUCACAGAAUGAUUCUGCAACUUCAGGGCGAUGAGAACGAAACCGUUUAAGCGUUAACGAGGGGCGUCUGGAUCGCGCCCAGAGAAUAAGUAAUUUCACGCUCGUUGUCUAGAGGAUAGGCGUAAAACAAGGUGAACACGAUACGGAGAGUUAUAUCGAAUACACCUUAAAGGUGGGAACCUGAGCUUGCUGUUGUUGCUGUUGCUGAUGCUGCUGUUGCUGUUGAGGAUGCGCGUGUCCAUGGGGAUGCUGAUGAUGGUGCGGAUGCG